CCCUGUUCUGAAUGGUAACCAUGGAAACGGCAGCCCCAACGGGUAGACAGAGUAUGGAGGUGACAGUGCUGUGGGGCCAGUGACCACACUGAUGGAAAACGCAGAAGCAGCAGAACUCAAGGCCCAGCGAGGAGGCGAUCCAAAAAGAAAUCUAAAGCAGAGGCAGGCACAAGGGCGGAAGACCACAUCUCCUCCCACUGGACAUCCAACCUCUUUCUCCCCUCGCCUUCGAAACGUCAUCCGGCCGGGUCCCUGCCUCUACGAUACAAACCACUCCAGAGCCGGAGAGACGCGCGUGGCUUCAGUCAUGACCACCGUUUCCAAACUGAAACCGAUCCAAAAGAAUAAUGUUAUAGUUGACGAAUCGGCGGCGUUUCCUUUCUCCGUUGACGCUCCGGCUUUCGUCAAAUGAUUCCCUGACCGGGAACGGAGCGGCGCCCCGAGAGGAAAUCUAGUUGGCCCGGCACUUGGAUAGUGGCUGCGGUGGAAUCCAGAGCACCUCCGGCUCCCGUUUGAACUGUUAUUUUUAGCCAAAAACUGAAAACCGACUCCA